UACGGAGGGGGCUAGCGUUGUUCGGAAUUAUUGGGCGUAAAGGGAGUGUAGGCGGUGAGGCAAGUCUUCUGUGAAAUCUACGGGCUUAGCCUGUUAAAGUGCAGGGGAAACUACUUCGCUUGAGUGUCGGAGAGGAUGGCGGAAUUCCCGGUGUAGAGGUGAAAUUCGUAGAGAUCGGGAGGAACACCAGUGGCGAAGGCGGCCAUCUGGCUGACAACUGACGCUGAGACUCGAAAGCAUGGGGAGCAAACAGG
rnacentral:rRNA from 1 species